GAUUCUAUGUCUCUCUAGAAAGGAAAUAGGCUGCCCCUUUGCUUUGUUAUUGAUAGGGUUCAGAAUAGCACCAGAGAGGUGCAAAACACACUCCCUGGAGUAAAACCCUUGCAGAUUGUCAGGACACUGUAGCCACCACACUUUGCCAGGACCCAGAGUGUGCAACAACAACCAAAGAAGAAAAAAUCCACUCAAUCAAGAAUGAGACCAGAUACCUAUGCCAAGAAACACUUCAAACAUUUGUCUGGAUCCAACUGCAAAAUCAAGAACAUGAAGAACCAAGACAGUAAACCUCCUCUGGAAGACAGCAAUCCUAUUGCCAUAAUCCUAUUGCCAACACUGGGAAAAGCAGUGUAACUGAAGCAUAAAACAGGGAAUGGGUGAUAAAUUAUUUCCCUGGGAUUAAUGAUGAAAAUUAAAGGCCAUGUGGAUCAAA